rnacentral:tRNA from 1 species
GGCCCGGUCGUAUAGCCCGGUCAAGUAUCCCGGCCUUUCGAGCCGGAGACCCGGGUUCAAAUCCCGGCCGGGCCACCA